UAGGGAAUCUUCCGCAAUGGGCGAAAGCCUGACGGAGCAACGCCGCGUGAGUGAUGAAGGUCUUCGGAUCGUAAAACUCUGUUAUUAGGGAAGAACAUAUGUGUAAGUAACUGUGCACAUCUUGACGGUACCUAAUCAGAAAGCCACGGCUAACUACGUGCCAGCAGCCGCGGUAAUACGUAGGUGGCAAGCGUUAUCCGGAAUUAUUGGGCGUAAAGCGCGCGUAGGCGGUUUUUUAAGUCUGAUGUGAAAGCCCACGGCUCAACCGUGGAGGGUCAUUGGAAACUGGAAAACUUGAGUGCAGAAGAGGAAAGUGGAAUUCCAUGUGUAGCGGUGAAAUGCGCAGAGAUAUGGAGGAACACCAGUGGCGAAGGCGACUUUCUGGUCUGUAACUGACGCUGAUGUGCGAAAGCGUGGGGAUCAAACAGGAUUAGAUACCCUGGUAGUCCACGCCCUAAACGAUGUCAACUGGUUGUUGGGAAUUAGUUUUCUCAGUAACGAAGCUAACGCGUGAAGUUGACCGCCUGGGGAGUACGGCCGCAAGGUUG
rnacentral:rRNA from 1 species